rnacentral:rRNA from 1 species
GAUGAACGCUGGCGGCGCGCCUAAUACAUGCAAGUCGAGCGAACGGACGAGAAGCUUGCUUUUCUGAUGUUAGCGGCGGACGGGUGAGUAACACGUGGAUAACCUACCUAUAAGACUGGGAUAACUUCGGGAAACCGGAGCUAAUACCGGAUAAUAUUUUGAACCGCAUGGUUCAAAAGUGAAAGACGGUCUUGCUGUCACUUAUAGAUGGAUCCGCGCUGCAUUAGCUAGUUGGUAAGGUAACGGCUUACCAAGGCAACGAUGCAUAGCCGACCUGAGAGGGUGAUCGGCCACACUGGAACUGAGACACGGUCCAGACUCCUACGGGAGGCAGCAGUAGGGAAUCUUCCGCAAUGGGCGAAAGCCUGACGGAGCAACGCCGCGUGAGUGAUGAAGGUCUUCGGAUCGUAAAACUCUGUUAUUAGGGAAGAACAUAUGUGUAAGUAACUGUGCACAUCUUGACGGUACCUAAUCAGAAAGCCACGGCUAACUACGUG